rnacentral:rRNA from 1 species
UACGAAGGGAGCUAGCGUUGCUCGGAAUUACUGGGCGUAAAGCGUGCGCAGGCGGUUGUGCAAGACCGAUGUGAAAUCCCCGGGCUUAACCUGGGAAUGGCAUUGGUGACUGCACGGCUAGAGUGUGUCAGAGGGGGGUAGAAUUCCACGUGUAGCAGUGAAAUGCGUAGAGAUGUGGAGGAAUACCGAUGGCGAAGGCAGCCCCCUGGGAUAACGACUGACGCUCAUGCACGAAAGCGUGGGGAGCAAACAGG